rnacentral:rRNA from 1 species
AGUGAACGCUGGCGGUAGGCCUAACACAUGCAAGUCGAACGGCAGCACAGUAAGAGCUUGCUCUUACGGGUGGCGAGUGGCGGACGGGUGAGGAAUACAUCGGAAUCUACUUUUUCGUGGGGGAUAACGUAGGGAAACUUACGCUAAUACCGCAUACGACCUACGGGUGAAAGCAGGGGAUCUUCGGACCUUGCGCGAUUGAAUGAGCCGAUGUCGGAUUAGCUAGUUGGCGGGGUAAAGGCCCACCAAGGCGACGAUCCGUAGCUGGUAUGAGAGGAAGGUUCGCCACACUGGAACUGAGACACGGUCCAGACUCCUACGGGAGGCAGCAGUGGGGAAUAUUGGACAAUGGGGGAAAGCCUGAUCCAGCAAUACCGCGUGGAGGAAGAAGGCCUUCGGGUGGUAAAGCCCUUUUGUUGGGAAAGAAAAGCAGCAGGUUAAUACCCCGCUGUUCUGACGGUACCCAAAGAAGAAGCACCGGCUAACUUCGUG